rnacentral:lncRNA from 1 species
UAGAUGAUCAAAGCAACAAGGAUAGUGAGAAACAUCUUCCUCUAAAUCACAGUCAUGCCAACAAUGAAGAUUCCAAUCAAGGCCAAUGUGAUAUUGAGAGUAGAAGCAAAGAGCCUUCAGAUCCUGAGAUCAAUAAUAAGGACCCUGAACACCAAUCCAAGGACACUAAUAAUGAAGAGUCCAAAACUGUUGAAUCUAACACAACUUUUGACUUAGGCAGUAAUUCUACUUUCAUUAUGAC